rnacentral:tRNA from 1 species
GGGGCUGUGACUCAGUGGUAGACCACCUGCUUUGGAUGCAGAAGGUCCCAGGUUCAAUUCCUGGCAUCUCCA